AGAGUUUGAUCCUGGCUCAGAAUCAACGCUGGCGGCGUGCCUCAGUCAUGCAAGUCGAACGAUUAAAGGCUCUCUUCGGAGAGUGUAUAGAGUGGCGCACGGGUGAGUAACACGUAAGUAAUCUACCCUCGAGUGGGGAAUAACAACCGGAAACGGUUGCUAAUACCGCAUAAUGCAGCGGCACCGCAAGGUGACAGUUGUUAAAGAUUUAUCGCUUGAGGAGGAGCUUGCGGCAGAUUAGCUAGUUGGUAGGGUAACGGCUUACCAAGGCUACGAUCUGUAACCGGUCUAAGAGGACGGUCGGUCACACUGACACUGAAUAACGGGUCAGACUCCUACGGGAGGCAGCAGUCGGAAUUUUGGGCAAUGGGCGAAAGCCUGACCCAGCAACGCCGCGUGAAGGAUGAAGUAUUUCGGUAUGUAAACUUCGAAAGAAUAGGAAGAAUUAAUGACGGUACUAUUUAUAAGGUCCGGCUAACUACGUG
rnacentral:rRNA from 1 species